rnacentral:rRNA from 1 species
CAGUCGCCGCGGUAAUACGUAGGGUGCAAGCGUUAAUCGGAAUUACUGGGCGUAAAGCGUGCGCAGGCGGUUAUAUAAGUCAGAUGUGAAAUCCCCGGGCUCAACCUGGGAACUGCAUUUGAGACUGUAUGGCUAGAGUGUGUCAGAGGGGGGUAGAAUUCCACGUGUAGCAGUGAAAUGCGUAGAUAUGUGGAGGAAUACCGAUGGCGAAGGCAGCCCCCUGGGAUAACACUGACGCUCAUGCACGAAAGCGUGGGGAGCAAACAGGAUUAGAUACCCGCGUAGUCCCUGUCUCUUAUAC